GCUCAUUUCUCCUGUUCUUCUCUCUACACGUUGGUGUUCUAACCAAUAAUCACCAUGCGAUAUUCUGUCCGAUCGAUUCGGUAACCAACUAACGAAUGCCAAAGUGUUGUCUAAACAAGACUAUACUUUGUGAAUUUCGUUAAGGUUCUGAAACGAAUGCCAAAGUGCUGUCUAAACAAGACUAUACUUUGUGAAUUUCGUUAAGGUUUUGAUCUCAUGACCAUCGUUAGGUUUGCUUUGGUAUAACACUAACACGUAUUCCACUCUGAUAAACUAAAUGUUUAACUACCCAACUCUGCACUGUACACUUACAAUCAAAAUAGAUGCUCAAUCAUCAGAAGAUUCAGAACUAUAAAGUAGAUGCUUGUUUAAUCAAGACUAUAUGCUAACAAGGUGAGUCGUUCUCUUUUUAUCAACAAUGUUUUACAAUACUCAAAUUAUUUUCAAAAGUUAUAAUUACAGGGAUUAAGUCUUGGUUAUCUUGAAUCACUGGCAAGUGGGGUAUUGUGCACAUUACUAAUUUCUCACGGUUAGGUUCACCAACCUAACAGUGAUAAUCAUCACUACUUGGGUGAAAGGACCCAAUAGUGGUAUGACCAUCGUCACCAGGGUGUGGCACGACGCCAUAUAAAAAUAAGAUAGUAGCUAUUGUAAUCGCUCUUAUGCUGUAAUUUAUAACAAUGUGUCGUUUUGUAAUGCCAGUAGAUUGGAAUAAGAGUGAUGAUACGGCACCGAAAGGCUUAAAGAAGUGGCUUAUUUUAUCAAUUGAAUUAAAUUAAGAAAACACGGUUUUAUAUAUUCGGGGGUAAGGUUCAUUUGAGAAGAAAAUUUAAUUGAGAAGAAAAAGAACAAAGGGUAAUUUUGUAAAACAUUAAAUAGUUUUUUCACUUAUCUCAUUUAUUAUCAUUUUUGACUAAUUAAUUAAUCAUAAAGACUAUUAUCCUCCACACUAACUUUUUUUUUUGCCUACACACAUAAAAAGUUAUCCUACAUAUUUCGAAAUUCAUCCUACAUGUUGAAAUUUAUCCUACACAACUCGUAAUUUGUCCUACACAACUCGUAAUUUAUCCUACACUUUAAAUUAUUUUAUUUUAUUUUUUUUGAAAAAAUAUAUAUUUUGAAGAUAAGUUACAAAAAUUUAAUGUAUUAGCUAUUAAAGAGGAAGACUACAAAUUAAUGACCUAUGUAGAUUUACCAAUUUACCCUUGUAGUAACAUUAAAUAUUUAUAUUAAAUGAAGUAAAAUAAAGCAUUCUUAUUGGUUGAAAUUUGUUCUUUUUUCUUCUUACAAAAAAUUUCUUCUCAUUUGAACUCUCCACUUAUCCCUUAUUAAAGCUACCAUUGUAAAACAUGGGUUUUAUCCCACCUAUUUAAUAAAUAAAAUCCGGUGUUUUCUAAAACUCUGAUAUUUUUCCUAACUCGCGGUCCUGAUGAAAUUUCCCGCUGCAAUAUUUUCAAAAUAACCACCGGUACCACUUGACUGCUCGCGGCUCCCGUCCAGGGUGUGGUCGGGGGUCGUGACAUCAGCCGUCGUCGCCCGAUGUUCCCACCCUUUAGUCGCAGUCGCCCGUUAUCGUCGCACCAAUCUACGCCACAGAUAAGACGUACAUCUCGUGAAUCUUACGAGUGAUGAAUCGAAUGUUUGAAGAUCCAAAAAUCAAAGAAAACGCCUUGUUACUGAAAUUAUUAAUCCCUACACAUCCUAAAGUUCAAGGGUUUUAUGUAUAUAGUACAAAGAUAGUAUUAGGGUAGUUAUGAAGUACGGGUACUAGAUGUGACAAUACAGAAGUUGAUAACCAACUCCCUAAAGGAAUCGAUGUGUCCCUUGGACACGCCCUCUGAUCGAUGGCUUUAAAGGAAAAGAAAGAGACGCACCUCUUCAAGUACAAUCACAUCCACAAGAUAAAGAGAUGCACCUGUUCGUGAAGAGACAUGCCUCUACAAUCGCACCUUUUAGUUACUUAUAAAUAGGGCUUUAGAUUUCAAUUGUAAAACAUACAUGUAUUCAGAGAUUCAAGUUAUAUUCAAGUUCAAUUUGUUAU
rnacentral:lncRNA from 1 species